rnacentral:rRNA from 1 species
AACGAACGCUGGCGGCAUGCCUAACACAUGCAAGUCGAACGAAGGCUUCGGCCUUAGUGGCGCACGGGUGCGUAACGCGUGGGAAUCUGCCCUUUGGUUCGGAAUAACAGCUGGAAACGGCUGCUAAUACCGGAUGAUGACGAAAGUCCAAAGAUUUAUCGCCAGAGGAUGAGCCCGCGUUGGAUUAGGUAGUUGGUGGGGUAAAGGCCUACCAAGCCGACGAUCCAUAGCUGGUCUGAGAGGAUGAUCAGCCACACUGGGACUGAGACACGGCCCAGACUCCUACGGGAGGCAGCAGUGGGGAAUAUUGGACGAUGGACGCAAGCCUGAUCCAGCAAUGCCGCGUGAGUGAUGAAGGCCCUAGGGUUGUAAAGCUCUUUUACCCGGGAAGAUAAUGACUGUACCGGGAGAAUAAGCCCCGGCUAACUACGUG